rnacentral:rRNA from 1 species
GACGAACGCUGGCGGCGUGCUUAACACAUGCAAGUCGAACGGAAAGGCCCUGCUUUUGUGGGGUGCUCGAGUGGCGAACGGGUGAGUAACACGUGAGUAACCUGCCCUUGACUUUGGGAUAACUUCAGGAAACUGGGGCUAAUACCGGAUAGGAGCUCCUGCUGCAUGGUGGGGGUUGGAAAGUUUCGGCGGUUGGGGAUGGACUCGCGGCUUAUCAGCCUGUUGGUGGGGUAGUGGCUUACCAAGGCUUUGACGGGUAGCCGGCCUGAGAGGGUGACCGGCCACAUUGGGACUGAGAUACGGCCCAGACUCCUACGGGAGGCAGCAGUGGGGAAUAUUGCAUAAUGGGCGGAAGCCUGAUGCAGCAACGCCGCGUGCGGGAUGACGGCCUUCGGGUUGUAAACCGCUUUCGCCUGUGACGAAGCGUGAGUGACGGUAAUGGGUAAAGAAGCACCGGCUAACUACGUG